AUACGGAGGGUGCAAGCGUUAAUCGGAAUUACUGGGCGUAAAGCGCGCGUAGGUGGAUAGUUAAGUCAGAUGUGAAAUCCCAGGGCUCAACCUUGGAACUGCAUUUGAUACUGGUUAUCUUGAGUACAGUAGAGGGAGGUGGAAUUUCAGGUGUAGCGGUGAAAUGCGUAGAUAUCUGAAGGAACAUCAGUGGCGAAGGCGACCUCCUGGACUGAUACUGGCACUGAGGUGCGAAAGCGUGGGGAGCAAACAGGAUUAGAAACCCCAGUAGUCC
rnacentral:rRNA from 1 species